rnacentral:lncRNA from 1 species
AAAUUCCAAGAUUUUCUUGCCUGAAUUCCAGGAAUUUUUCAGCAAGAAUUCCAGUAGUUUUAGCCUUCAAUUCCAUGAAUUUGAUAGCAAGAAUUCCAUUUUUUUCCUGCCUCAAUUCUGGGAUUUUUCUACCUAAAUUCUGGGAUUUUUCUACCUAAAUUCCUGCAUUUUUCUGCCUAAAAAUCUGGGAUUUUUCCACAAAAAAAUCGGAAUUUUCCCCCAUAAAUUCCAGGAUUUUUUCAUCAAAAUGCUGGGAUUUUUUGACCUGGGAAUGUUUGAAAAUUUUGGGAUUUUUUUUCUGCCUAAAUUCCAGGAUUUUUCCUCGAAAAUUCCAGGAUUUUCCCACCUAAAUUCUGGGAUUUUUCUGCCUGAAUUCCAUGAAUUUUCUGGCAUAAAUUCCAUUAGUUUUUCAUGCAAAUUCUGGGAUUUUUCUACCGUAAUUCCAGGAUUUUCCUGUCCAACUUCUGGGAUUUUUCAUGUGUAAAUUCCAUUCUUUUACCCCAUAAAUUCCAUUAUUUUAUCCCAUAAAUUCCAUUAUUUUACCCCCAAAAAUUCUGGGAUUUUUUCCACCAUAAUUCCAGGAUUUUCCCAUAUAAAUCUAGGGAUUUUUCUACCUAAAUUCUUGGAAUUUUACACCUAAAAUCGGGGAUUUUUCCCACCAAAAUUCCAGGAUUUUUCCAUGUAAAUCUUGCGUUUUUUCUCCCUAAAUCCUUUGAAUUUUACACCAAAAAUUCAGAAUUUUCCCACCAAAAUUCCAGGACUUUUCCAUGCGAAUCGUGGGAUUUUUCUACCUAAAAUCGGGGAUUUUGCCCACCAAAAAUUCGGAUUUUUCCCACCAAAAUUCCAGGAUUUUUCCUACUAUAAUCCCUUAAAUGUUAGGCCAGAAUUCCAUGAUUUUCCCACCAGAAUUCCAAGAUUUUUGGCCCAGAAUUCCCGGAUUUUUUUGGGAAUUCUCACUUGUAGAGCAGGUGCACCCGGCUCCCAUCACAGUUGGCCCGGCCCAACUUUUCCGCCUGCUCCGACACCAGGCAGCGAACGAGGCUGGGCUGGGAAAAUCCCUGGGAAAUCUGGGAAUGUUGGGAAAUCUGGGAAUGUUG